UCAGUUUAUCGUUGAUAAAGAGAUUACAGAUUAGUUUAAAAUUUAAUAAUUAUUCGCCUUAUUGGUAAAAAGGAUUACGGAUCGUAACAUCUGCAAUAAAGCUUCCAGGUCUGCAUCUGAGAUGUGAUCUAUGUCAGUGACUACUAAAAGCAUUUUAUAUUUGGAGAUUGGACAUGUAACAAGAAUUACGUAAAGGUCAGCGACCGGACCAAUUCAUGGUGAAACAGAAGGUCUAUGUUGAAAUAUAAAUGUAAGAUAAUAAAUUCAAUACGCUAAGUUAAAUGAAAUACAAACAACGAAUAAUAUAGUUUAAAAACGCUUUAUUAACAAACCAAA